AUUGAACGCUGGCGGCAUGCCUUACACAUGCAAGUCGAACGGUAACGGGCCUUCGGGUGCCGACGAGUGGCGAACGGGUGAGUAAUGUAUCGGAACGUGCCCAGUCGUGGGGGAUAACGCAGUGAAAGCUGUGCUAAUACCGCAUACGAUCUACGGAUGAAAGCGGGGGAUCGCAAGACCUCGCGCGAUUGGAGCGGCCGAUAUCAGAUUAGGUAGUUGGUAGGGUAAAAGCCUACCAAGCCAACGAUCUGUAGCUGGUCUGAGAGGACGACCAGCCACACUGGAACUGAGACACGGUCCAGACUCCUACGGGAGGCAGCAGUGGGGAAUUUUGGACAAUGGGCGCAAGCCUGAUCCAGCAAUGCCGCGUGCAGGAUGAAGGCCUUCGGGUUGUAAACUGCUUUUGUACGGAACGAAAAGGUCUGCCCUAAUACGGCGGGCCCAUGACGGUACCGUAAGAAUAAGCACCGGCUAACUACGUG
rnacentral:rRNA from 1 species